rnacentral:rRNA from 1 species
GGGUCAGUAGGUUGGUCGUGCCACCGGUACGUACUGGUCUCACUGAUUCCUCCUUCCUGAAGAACCGUAAUGCCAUUAAUUUGGUGUUGCGGGGAAUCAGGACUGUUACUUUGAAAAAAUUAGAGUGUUUAAAGCAAGCUAACGCUUGAAUACAUUAGCAUGGAAAAAUGAAAUAGGACGAUCGAUCCUAUUUUGUUGGUUUCUAGGAUUGACGUA